rnacentral:rRNA from 1 species
AUUGAACGCUGGCGGCAUGCCUUACACAUGCAAGUCGAACGGCAGCAUGAUCUAGCUUGCUAGAUUGAUGGCGAGUGGCGAACGGGUGAGUAAUACAUCGGAACGUGCCCUGUAGUGGGGGAUAACUAGUCGAAAGAUUAGCUAAUACCGCAUACGACCUGAGGGUGAAAGUGGGGGACCGCAAGGCCUCAUGCUAUAGGAGCGGCCGAUGUCUGAUUAGCUAGUUGGUGAGGUAAAGGCUCACCAAGGCGACGAUCAGUAGCUGGUCUGAGAGGACGAUCAGACACACUGGGACUGAGACACGGCCCAGACUCCUACGGGAGGCAGCAGUGGGGAAUUUUGGACAAUGGGCGAAAGCCUGAUCCAGCAAUGCCGCGUGUGUGAAGAAGGCCUUCGGGUUGUAAAGCACUUUUGUCCGGAAAGAAAUGGCUCUGGUUAAUACCUGGGGUCGAUGACGGUACCGGAAGAAUAAGGACCGGCUAACUACGUG